rnacentral:rRNA from 1 species
AUUGAACGCUGGCGGCAUGCCUUACACAUGCAAGUCGAACGGUAACGGGCCUUCGGGUGCCGACGAGUGGCGAACGGGUGAGUAAUACAUCGGAACGUGCCCGAUCGUGGGGGAUAACGAGGCGAAAGCUUUGCUAAUACCGCAUACGAUCUACGGAUGAAAGCAGGGGACCGCAAGGCCUUGCGCGGACGGAGCGGCCGAUGGCAGAUUAGGUAGUUGGUGGGAUAAAAGCUUACCAAGCCGACGAUCUGUAGCUGGUCUGAGAGGAUGAUCAGCCACACUGGGACUGAGACACGGCCCAGACUCCUGCGGGAGGCAGCAGUGGGGAAUUUUGGACAAUGGGCGCAAGCCUGAUCCAGCCAUGCCGCGUGCAGGAUGAAGGCCUUCGGGUUGCAAACUGCUUUUGUACGGAACGAAAAGCCUUCUUUUAAUACAGGAGGGUCAUGACGGUACCGUAAGAAUAAGCACCGGCUAACUACGUG